rnacentral:rRNA from 1 species
GGGGAAUAUUGGACAAUGGGGGCAACCCUGAUCCAGCCAUGCCGCGUGAGUGAUGAAGGCCUUAGGGUUGUAAAACUCUUUUGUCCGGGAAGAUAAUGACUGUACCGGAAGAAUAAGCCCCGGCUAACUUCGUGCCAGCAGCCGCGGUAAUACGAAGGGGGCUAGCGUUGUUCGGAAUCACUGGGCGUAAAGCGCACGUAGGCGGAUCGUUAAGUCAGAGGUGAAAUCCCGGAGCUCAACUUCGGAACUGCCUUUGAUACUGGCGAUCUCGAGUUUGGAAGAGGUUGGUGGAACUGCGAGUGUAGAGGUGAAAUUCGUAGAUAUUCGCAAGAACACCAGUGGCGAAGGCGGCCAACUGGUCCAAUACUGACGCUGAGGUGCGAAAGCGUGGGGAGCAAAC